rnacentral:tRNA from 1 species
GGAAGAGCCUAUGGCUCAGCGGUAGAGCAUCUGCUUUGUAUGUAGAAGGCAACAGGUUCAAUCUCUGGCAUCUCCA